rnacentral:lncRNA from 1 species
AAAGGAGAAGGAGAGGAUCAGAAGUGUGGGGGAAAAAGAUCUGCUGGGAGAGUCUGCUGUGCCUACCCAGGAAAACCCCACAGAUGCCCUGAAGACAACAAUCUCCAGGAAUGCGUUUGAAAUCAACCCUGCUUUCAAGUCAGUCAUGGAUUUUCAAUUUCAUAGAGAGUUCCUAAUGUAAACUGGAUGUUGGUGGCACACGCUUGCAAUCCCGGAACUAGGGCAGCUGAAGCAGAAGAUCUCAAGUGCCAGGCCAGCUUGGGCUACAUACCGAGACUGCAUCUCCAAAAACCAAAAUAAGAAAACCAAAGGGCAAACAUCUUCAGCUGGCUUGGUUCUGCAGGGGAGGAUACCCCCGGCUCACAACAGAAUCCUCCCUGUGCCCGUUAGUUUUUCGACACCGAGGACCAAAACAGGAGGUGUGAGUACAAAGAGGUCUUCUUUCUGACUAAUUAUUUAUCAUUAGUCCCAGAACCUUUACGAUUAACAUGUCCAUGAGUAGGUGUUUAAGAAACUUUGGCCUGGAGGGGUUGACCAAGAGGGCCAGAUGAGGGAGGUCCUAGGAGAGACAUCUUUCUCCGGCUUCUGACCUUAUAUGAUGGAAGACAUAGUAGGAAGAGAGAAAUAACUGAGUUGGCAGAUCUGUCCCGGGUCUUCACGAAUGGUCACUAAGUUGCUCUUCGCAACAAUCCUACCAGAUCAGAAUGGAUUAGUUAUCCCAUUUGAUACAUGAAAGUAUGGAAUAAGGUUAGAGCCAUUGGCCAGGUAGGAGAGGUUUGAAGUCAACUGAGAAAAGCCUGUCUCCCUUCAGCAUAGUGUCCCAGGAGAAGCCCAUUCUCUGCUGUGGACUCUGCAGAGAAGCCACAAGGCUGAGGGCUAACUGCAGUAGGCAUGGUUGGGCUCCAAGUCAAUGCUCUGUGAGACAACCCCACACCCACAGCACGUGUGUCUACUUCCCAUUGAUCCAUCAGGAUUUCUCUCUCCCCACUUUAUACACACUAUUUUCUAACGCCUACCUAAGUAGAGGCAGGGAAAGGUGGGAGAGUAGGUUGUCAGAUCUGUGGCCAGCCUCCCUUGAGCCCAGCAGAGAGACAUCUGCUGAUGAUGGUGGACAGACCCAACACUAGCUUUUGGCAGAGGCUGGGCGACCAGAACUCUCGUGCUCUGAGAAGCAGCGGGUAUUUGACACCCACCCUGCCAUGGUGCCACUGCGUUAUCGUCAAGCCGGCCCCACCCCAGGCCAGCAAUGACCUGGCUCCUCUAGGAGAGGAUCCUCG